rnacentral:rRNA from 1 species
AUUGAACGCUGGCGGCAGGCUUAACACAUGCAAGUCGAGCGGGGUGAUGGUGCUUGCACUAUCACUUAGCGGCGGACGGGUGAGUAAUGCUUAGGAAUCUGCCUAUUAGUGGGGGACAACAUCUCGAAAGGGAUGCUAAUACCGCAUACGUCCUACGGGAGAAAGCAGGGGAUCACUUGUGACCUUGCGCUAAUAGAUGAGCCUAAGUCGGAUUAGCUAGUUGGUGGGGUAAAGGCCUACCAAGGCGACGAUCUGUAGCGGGUCUGAGAGGAUGAUGCGCCACACUGGGACUGAGACACGGACCAGACUCCUACGGGAGGUAGCAGUGGGGAAUAUUGGACAAUGGGGGGAACCCUGAUCCAGCCAUGCCGCGUGUGUGAAGAAGGCCUUAUGGUUGUAAAGCACUUUAAGCGAGGAGGAGGCUCUUUUGGUUAAUACCCAAGAUGAGUGGACGUUACUCGCAGAAUAAGCACCGGCUAACUCUGUGCCAGCCGCCGCGGUAA